GACGAACGUUGGCGGCGUGCUUAAUACAUGCAAGUCAACUGAAGCAGUGGUAGCAAUAUCGCUGUGGAGGUGGCGCACGGGGGAGUAACACGUAGGUAAUCUGCCUUCAGGUCUGGCAUAACUCCGGGAAACCGGGGCUAAUAGCAGAUGAUGCAGCGGCUCGACAUCGAGACAGUUGUUAAAGCUAUGGCGCCUGAAGAUGAGCCUGCGUCUGAUUAGCUAGUUGGCGGGGUAACGGCCCACCAAGGCAACGAUCAGUAGCUGGUCUGAGAGGAUGAUCAGCCACACUGGAACUGAGACACGGUCCAGAGUCGUACGGGAGGCAGCAGUAAGGAAUAUUGCCCAAUGGGUGACAUCCUGAAGCAGCGACGCCGCGGGAGGGACGAGGGGCUUUUGCUUGUAAACCUCUGUAGGGAGAGAAAAAAAUCCCAAUCUUUGGGACAUGAUGGUAUCUCAAAAGUAAGCCCCGGCUAACUACGUG
rnacentral:rRNA from 1 species